UUUCACUCAAAGCUUACUCAUUGUACAGUUACUGUACUUUUACAAAGACAUUGAAACGUUUGUCGGCCUGUCAACCAAAUACCACCAACAAGGUUUGCUGUUACUCUGACAACAUCUAAUCAGGAAACUUGGCACUGAGAACCUGCACAGCAACAACAUGGAGCCAAGAGAGGAAGAGAAAGAAAUGGAGAAGGAGGACAUUUACAUUCCCAGGUCACCUCCCAGGAAUGCUUAUGGCACAGCUGCAGUCUUGGGGAACCCCACAUUAGCUGCUGAUGACAGACCAGCCCCGCCCAGCAGCCUGGCUCUGACAGGGCCCCGACUCAGGAAGAAGCGCCUGGUGGCCCCCGCCCUAAGUCUGACGCUGGAUCGCAGUGACUCGGCGGUUUCCGACGACUAUGCCACAGCUGCCCUCUCUCCCUCCCCUGAUGACGAAGAUCUGGGGCUGGACAUCGACUUGGAUGCCAUGGAAACGCCCUCGGACAGCGAGUCCCUCCACUUUCCAGUGCACGACGUGGAUUUGGAGGAUGACCUUCGUCUGGGAGUGGCAUCACAUUUCCAUAAGGCCCGUGGGUCAGUACCAGAGCAGAUGGGAGUGGGCUCUCUUGACCAAGACCAGGUGGACAGCCAGGGCACUAGGUGGCGCCGGUUCCGCACAGGAGAUCCGCUUCAGGAGAGUCUGGUCAACAUGAGUGUACUUGAUCCUUUCCUUCGAGUCCUGUCACAUGGGGGUUACUAUGGAGAAGGGUCUAAUGACAUCAUUGUGUUCUCUUCCUGCUAUCUCCCUGAAAACAACAUGGAGAACUACCAGCAUGUCAUGGACAACCUGUUCAGGUACGUUGUGGGAACGUUGGACCUGAUGGUGGCGGAGAACUACGUCAUUGUGUACCUGUGUGCCAUGGCCCAGCGUGACAAGCUUCCCGGCAUUGGCUGGCUCAGAGAGUGUUACACCACCGUUGACAGAAGGUUAGUUCUGUUUACUCAAAUUGGCUUGGUUUGCGGUCCUAUUUCAGAAAACUAUAUGCCACAGUGAGUAACAAAACGGUACAAAAAUAUUUUAACUCAACAGUAGCUCAUGUCAGCGGAGUCUACAAGUCGUAGGCCACGUUCCAGGCCGAAUAUAUUGCAGUCAUCAACAUUGCAGCCAGAGUGCUAUAUUAUAUGAUGUGGUUAGUGGAUAUGUUCAACACCUAUUCAGGCAUUGUGAGAUCUGGCAACUGCAAUGUAGUUGGCCUGGAACACUGCCAAAGUCAAAUCCCAAGUUAUUUUAUUUUAUGCCAAGUAAUUAAGACUCAAGUAAUGAAAUCAUUGAAAUUUGUCUCAGUCGGUGAAAAAUAAGUGUCUCAGUGUCGAAAAUCUACCAAGCUGGCUAUCUGUCAAGACACGGAAGAAGAGCCGGAUGUUUUCCGUGUCAACUGCACAGGUGAAAACCAGAUGACAGUCCCUUUGGUCUAGUUGGUCUGCUGUACUGAUCUUCAGAAACUCAUCACGUAUGAAGUACUUUGCCCUGGUGACACGAAGGUCCUCCCCUGGUACUGGUGUUGAAAAUUCUGGCAUAGUGUAGUGUGCAAAUUCUGGGAAAUACUCUUCCAUUUUUGAUUUUCCCUCCAAAACCUUCUCUGCUAGGAGGUCCUGUUUGUUCAGUAAGACCCAGACAGGAAGGGUCCUUAGCCACCUGUUGUUCCAGAUGAUCUUGAAGAGGUUUAGUGCCUCCUGCAGCCCGUUGGUCUGGCUGUCUUCCUGCAUCACCAUGUCAUAGCUGCUGCUGUCCACCACAAAAAUAACAUCCCACACGUCUGCGAAACACCGCAUCCACUUUCUGCUUUCGUACCUCUGACCUCUAACAUUAGAUACAUGAAAAUUGAUACCAUCCAUCUCGAAAAAUGUCUCAGACAUCCCUGAAGCCUUUUUACUGUUGUUUUGUAUGUAAUGCAUUUUCUCCUCUGCAGUGCGUUCCGCAUGUAAACAGCGCAUCUGAUUUACUAUCGUGCGUUGCCCAGAUUCAUCAGCUCCUAACAGUAGUAACUGGCGCGGGCAAGUUAUUUGCUUGUUAUGCUCGUCUUCUUGCAGCUGUUUAUUAAUCCUUUUGUUUGAUUCUUUACGUGCCUUCUCAAUACGUUGGUCUUUACUGCACAGACAACCCAUAUUAAUUAAAUAAUACUAGAUUCCUAGGCUUGCCUAAGGAAAAAAUACAGAAAUUAAGAAAAUGACAGUGUUACAACAGACCCCUUCCCCCGUAAACUGUCACUCUGGGUCUGACACAGAAAGCAUCCUCUGCCACUCUCAGAAGGUUGAUUCCUUGAACGUUUUCAUUGUGAAUCCGCAAUGAACUCUUCAAGUGUAAUGUCAAUGUAAAUGUUCAGCAAUAAGUCUAAAUGCAGGCAGUGAGUUUUCGAAUCGAGAUUCCCACGAUGUCUUACUGUGGCGCCACACUGAACUUUAGCGGUAUUUUCUAGAACCGAUCGAUUUUCCCGAGUAGCCCAGAAUUCAAAACUUUGCAGUUCUGUCAAAGCGCAGCCAUGGCUAGAUGCUCUUCCCUUCACCACAACGAUAGUAAAGAAACUACAAGAAAGAUAAUUCAAAAGUUAACUUCUGAAACAAUAUUUACACAAUUCCACUAAAAUGGGGGCAUGCGAUCAUUACACGAAGCUCCUCCUUGAUUCGAAUGCCUUGCUGUAGCAGCAUUGCGCAAAUUGUGGAUUUAUAUCCUGUAUUUCCCAACCUUGUAAUUUCCCCUACUCAGCAUCUGGUGAAAUAUGACUCUGUUUGUGGUAACUUGUUGUUUGUGUUAGGAGUUUGUGUCGAAGCAGAAUUAUUGUAUUGAAUAUGAAUAGACCCAGGGUGUGGUGCUUAAUUAAUGUCCAACUUGCUCUGACUGGCUGUACACAAAUGAGGGCAAACACUCCACCUUAAACCUGUUGAUUUGUAGUAUUCUAUGGUCCCUUCUUUUUUAUAUAUUUUUUAUUUCACUAGGCAAGUCCGUUAAGAAAAAACAUCUUAUUUUACAAUGAUUACAUUUUAGUCAUUUAGCAGACGCUCUUAUCCAGAGCGACUUACAGUAGUGAAUGCAUACAUUUCAUACAUUUUUUUUUCGUACUGGCCCCCGUGGGAAUCGAACCCACAACCCUGCCGUUGCAAACACCAUGCUCUACCAACUGAGCCACAAAUGGAAGAGUAUUUCCCUGAAUUUGCACAGUCCUGAGUAUACAAGAACAGUGCCAGGGGAUGACCUUCGUGUCACCAGGGCAAAGUAUUUCACCAUCAUUGUAUAACAUCAUAUUUUAUUUUAUUCAGCUGGGCAAUUUGUUUUAUUAAUGAUAUAGUAGUGUCCCUACUCAAAGUCAAGUCAGCCUAGUAGUUAAUUAGUCUGGCUAACGCCUAAUUCUUGAAGUCCUCCUGACUUCAGAGUCGGGAAUUACUUUUUGAUGUUGUUGGCGUUGAUAAUGGAGGGGGCUGUGCUUUUACUGCUUGGCCCCCCUCUGUGUAUUUUUCACUCAAACACCCACAGGCACAGCCACAUACAGCCCCCUUCCAUUACAAUGUUUGGAAUUUCAAAUCUAAACAACGAGAGCUCUCAACCCCUGAGAAUUUUUUUAAAUAAAAUCAAAAAUAACGAAAUCCAUUGCACAAUUUUUGAGCGAAUAUUGCAUUAACAAAUGGCCUCCUAUCCAGGCCAGUGUGGUCACAGCUCUGUGCUGUGAGUCACAUGGAUCAGCCAGGUUAGUAGUUGAUAGCCUGAUCCACCAUCCACCACUGUUGCGCUCUCGUGUAGUGAAACAGAAUUGAAGCUACCAAGACGAGUCUCAAGCCAUCACAUUUAUGACUGAUCCUGAUCUAACUCAAGUCUGCACUUCAUUAGGUUGAGGAAGAAUCUGAAAGGUCUAUACAUCGUACACCCAACCUGGUACAUCAAGGCCCUGAUCACCAUCAUCAAGCCCUUCAUCAGGCUCUGUGCCGUCACACAAAACUAAUGGCUUCCGAUCCCGUCAUCCUCACAGCUCCAAAUUCAGUCGGAAGCUUCAGUUUAUCGACAGCCUUCGGGAGCUGUCCCAGCACAUCCCUAUUGAGCGUGUGCAGAUCCCCGACUGCGUCAGACAGUUUGACGAGAAUAUGGACAGGUGAUAUACUGAAAAUGGUGAUCUGGACCACAGUGUAAGGUACAUGAAGCCAAAACAGUGGACUAAAAAGGAUCAAAUCUGGCAACCGAUGACUUGACACUGAGGAUGAACCUGGCUGCCCAAUCUUACAUCAGUUGUCCUAUGAGACAACUUUAACCAAAGUAUCUACUGAAGGACCACAAGUAGAAACACUGAGCUCCAAAAGUAUUGAGACUGUAACCACGUUUCCAUCCAGUUUUUAUACAGUAAAGUCAUACCAUAUAAACAAAAUACCAACAGCUGAUGGAAACAGGAAGUUUCGGUACAACGUUAUAAAUGCAGACAGAUAAUUUGUUCGUUCGACAUGCUGGGAUAUUUUAGUGUCAUUAAAAUUAAUCAUGUGAGAAAUGGCAGUGGAAACGCCUUCAUGCACAAAUAUUGAUAUAAUAACCAUCACAUCGAAGUAAACUUGGAGUCACGCAAUGUUUUGGGGUGUGGUCCUCCCGCUACAACUCAGGAAACCAUACAGAUUAUUAGGCUACAGAUGAAGUGAUGAAUUUUACAGGGGGGUGAAAGUGCAAUGUGAUCUUUAUGCUCCUUUCCAAUAAAUAUUGAGGUUCUUAUUCUGGUGACAUGAUGAUCAGUGCUUGACUGCCAUUUUUGACCAAUAAAAAUAUUCUCACCUCUUA